AUGGGCAAGGAGGAAUCAAGGGCCACGAGGCCGACGCCCUACUUGCCGCACGAGGUCAUCACGGAGAUCCUUCUCCGGUUGCCUGUCACCUCGAUUCUACGGUUCAGGUGUGUCUCCAAGGCAUGGCGCCGCACCCUAUCCAAGGACCCGUCCUUCCGCCUCCAUCGGCAACGGCAUCCGUGCCUGCUCAUCGCCCCGGAGAUCCAACUCGACAGAAAACGUACAGGCGCCACUGCUGGCCUCUACCGCUGGGAGGAGGCCCACGGCGCCGCAACCCUCAUGCACCCCAUUGACCCUCUGUCCAAGGCGCGCGGUCUCGCGCACUGCGAUGGGCUAGUGUUGGUGGCCACCGAUUUGGUUGUGUGCGUCCUCAACCCAGCCACACACCGCGUCCUCACGCUGCUGGGUUGCCACCACCCUUUUCGCCGUGCGUUUGGCCUUGGGCGUGACCCUCGCACAGGUACCUACAAGGUAGCCCGAUACUUCUACCAAACCGAUUUCGGCCUCAAGGUGUUCACCAUAGGAGUCGAUCAGCAUUGGCGUCAGCUGAUGGCGGAGUCACCGCACCUUGUCAACAUGCGACGCACAGCGACCUUCUUCAAGGGGUCCCUUCUUUGGACCUUCAGCAGAUAUGACUACCAAGUCAGGACUGGUUUCCUCAGGUUAAGAUUGGAGGACGAAACAUUUAACAUUGUUCCACCGCCUCCAUGCUUCGGGGAACACACUAUGCCGCUGCAUUUUACAAACGGAAAAUCGUUUUAUGGUCAAUGA
rnacentral:rRNA from 1 species